UUUAAAAAAUUUUACACACGCAUGUGCGCAGACACACAAAAUAAACAUAUCCAGCCAAACAGAAUUAUAAACACAAGGCAGGGAAGACGCACACGAAUACAGAGAGAUGUACAUAAAGGUAAACGUACACAACACGAUACAAAAAGUCUCUUCAGCAUCUUUCGAUGUUCUCGCAUAUUUUCAGUAGAAUAUAAAUCGGAUCGACAGACAAAUGUGCCGAACAGAGCUUUAUAGCGAUUAUUACUUGGAAUUCGUCACUCUUUAUCAUUUUGCAUCCUGUUCCUUAGUGCAAUUGAAGCCAGGAGAGAUCAACAAUAUAAAUAUUAGAGUCACUUCUUGCGUGACUGGAAACACAUUUUCUCGUGGAACACAAUUGGUGAUAGUAAAAGGAACAUCAUAUCGACGAUGGCAGAAAAAAACGAGAAUUGGAUAAUGAGAUUUUUUAGAAUGAAAAGUAACGUUGCACAAUGUAGAUUAUGUGCCUAUAAGAAAUCACUAUUUAAAUCCGUAAGAUGUAUCUGCUAUCAUAUAAUUGAUACACAUAACUCUGACUGGAUGAAAUCUAUGAGCCGAUCAACUAUCCCGUGGCCUCAUAUGAUUUGGCGUUACUUCUACAUAAGCGAUGAUUGCUAUGCAAAAUGUCUUAAAGACGGUUGUCAACAAACGUAUAAUUUCGGUUCAAUUAAGAUGUCAGAAAUGCAACUACAUUUCGUAGAAACCCAUAUAAAAGCUGGCAAUAUAAACAUUGAUAAAUGGAUAACACCAUAUUAUAAAAUAAAAUCCCGUAAUCGCAGGAAUAGACCAUUAGAGAAACAAUGCAAAGAACCUAAUUGUAAUUGGGUAAAACACCCAUACAUGCAGUAUGCAUGUUUAUUUGGGCACUUGGUUCUUGACCAUAAAUUUAUUCCUCACCAAUCAAUAAGGACGGGAAGAGAAGCUGCAGAAAAAUUCUUUUUAUCAAAACGCCAUAAAGUUUCAGAAGAUUCAUGAAAAGUUCAACAACAUGGACGCAGUUUCGAAAGAAAUGAGACUAACGUAUUAUCAUGGACAUGUAUUUUUAAUUGUAUUUUAUAAUUAAGAAUUGGCAUACAUUUAAAAAUGUCUUUGAUCUAGGUAUCUAACAUGUUUUAAAAAUAUUUUAUAAAACAUAUUUAUAUGUUUAAUAACAUAUUUUAUAUAACAAUUAACAUAAAUUUAAUAUUCGCUUGUAUAUUGUUGAAACAAUCAAUAUAGUAAAAGAGGCCAGCAUAACGAGCACCAAAUAUAAUGUUAGCUUCAGAAAUUUAUUUAAUAUAUUCAGCAAGCAUUCUUAAAUCAAAAAAAAUAU